rnacentral:rRNA from 1 species
GUCUUUUUGAUUUAUAUAUAAAGUUUGACCUGCCCACUGAAAAUUUUAAAUGGCUGCAGUAAUUUGACUGUACAAAGGUAGCAUAAUCAUUAGUUUUUUAAUUAAAAGCUUGUAUGAAAGGUUGGACGAAGUAAAAUCUGUCUCUUUUUAAUAUAAUUAGAAUUUAAUUUUUAAGUAAAAAAGCUUAAAUUUUUAUAAAAGACGAGAAGACCCUAUAGAGUUUAAUAAUUUUAAUAAAAUAUUUAAUUAAGAUUUAUUAAUUUUAUUUAAUUAAAAUUAUUUUAUUGGGGUAAUAAAAAGAUUAAAAAAAUUCUUUUUUUUUAAUACAUUAAUUUAUGAAUAUAUGAUCCAUUUGUAGUGAUUAAAAGAUUAAAUUACCUUAGGGAUAACAGCGUAAUUUUUUUAAAGAGUUCUUAUCGAUAAAAAAGUUUGCGACCUCGAUGUUGGAUUAAAGAUUAAUUUAGGUGUAGAAGUUUAAAUUUUUGGUCUGUUCGACCAUUAAAUCUUUACA